rnacentral:tRNA from 1 species
GUGGGUGUAGCUCAGUUGGUUAGAGCGCUAGGUUGUGGCCCUGGAGGUCGUGGGUUCAAAUCCCAUCACCCACC